UUCUUACCAAGAACCGCCCACGUAAACAGGAAGUGACUGUCUGAUUGACAUUUAAAGUGACCAUCCACAGUUCUCUCACCAUAUUCGGACAAUAUUGUGCAUACAGCGCAAGAGAGGAAUCAUCUGAUGUAGAGGUCGCCAGGCCCAUAGCGACGACUGUUGGGGAUUAGCAGAAAGCUGCCAGAGCCGCUGUUUACAUUUGUGAGAUACCCUCAGGUUUCUGUUUACCUCAGAAGCUAUGAAUCCCGGCAGUUAUGUGUCUUUUUCUUUUUGUGUGGCUCGCCGGCUAAUAUAGACGGAUUCCGCAACAUGAAGUUAAAUUACAGCUAAGAGCAGCAGGGAAAUGAGGGGAUAUGUCUCUCCUGUCCCACCUU